CGUGGAGCUUUACUGUAGCCUGAUAUUGAAAUUCGGCACAGCUUGUACAGGAUAGGUAGGAGCCUUUGAAACGUGAGCGCUAGCUUACGUGGAGGCGCUGGUGGGAUACUACCCUAGCUGUGUUGGCUUUCUAACCCGCACCACUUAUCGUGGUGGGAGACAGUGUCAGGCGGGCAGUUUGACUGGGGCGGUCGCCUCCUAAAAGGUAACGGAGGCGCUCAAAGGUUCCCUCAGAAUGGUUGGAAAUCAUUCAUAGAGUGUAAAGGCAUAAGGGAGCUUGACUGCGAGACCUACAAGUCGAGCAGGGUCGAAAGACGGACUUAGUGAUCCGGUGGUUCCGCAUGGAAGGGCCAUCGCUCAACGGAUAAAAGCUACCCCGGGGAUAACAGGCUUAUCUCCCCCAAGAGUUCACAUCGACGGGGAGGUUUGGCACCUCG
rnacentral:rRNA from 1 species